UGCACAUUGGCCCUUAAAGUGUCAAAUGUUUAGGCAGUGUGAAAUGACAAGCCUCAGAAAUGAAUAAGAAUUCAUGAAAUAGUGCUACUUAUGAUCUUAUCAACAAAUGUAUGAACUUUGGCCAGGUGCCAUACAAACAUCAGUAAAGUGAAUAUAUUUCGAUGCCAUAGUUAUUACAGAUAUUGUUUCUAAAAUAUAACUGGUUAAAACCUCAGGACAUUGGCAUUAGAAACAACUGGAGACAUCUCAAAAUGUACCAUUGAAAGAUCCCAUAUGUAUAUUAACUAUUUUGGUCACGAAAAUCAAUUUAUUACAUAGAUUUCAUAAAUGUUAGGUUUCAUAGACUGUAUCAUGUGACUAGUUCGCGCGUGAAGCAUCUUGACGUUUAUGGUCAAGCUCACGAACUGUGGCACACACAGCAUUAUUCUCCCAGACUGAAGAGUUUCUUUGCCACCGAGUAUUUACAGAUAUUUAAGUGAUUUUAUCUCAAGUUAUAUUGGAGAGAAUGUUGCACACACUUAUUUUGUUCUCUUUGAGUUUGUAUUCUCUGGCUGCCGUUGCUGCAGCACAACUUUCAGCUCCUCUGUUCCUCAGUGAAUCUGUGAUAGUGCUGAUCUCAGCUGCUGCUGGAUCUCUGGUGUAUAUGGUUUUGAUUUGGAUGUUUUGUGUGUGCAGGGGACACAAAGAGGCAGCUCAGACCCAUGAAUAUGAGACUCCUCAAUCACUCCACAAACAGAUUGGACAAAUGACGGACUCUGAAAUGACAGAGGUAGUUUACACAUGUUUCACCACAGAGCAAUGAUCAGACUCUCUGUGAAUCUGUUUCAUCACAAAUGAUGGAUUGACAUCAAUAAAUUAUCUGUGCUUUAUACA
ensembl:lncRNA